UUUAUUAAUACAUUUAAGUCAAUCUCUUUAUUUCCCUUUAUUUGUAGUGACGACCUGCUCCAAACGCCCCCACUUACUGCUGGGCUACCUGACCGCGCAGGAGAACCUUUCAUUCUCCUGGGAAAACAGACUGGGGGUCAAAGGGAAAAAACACAGACACAGGCAGGACUCACAAAAACUUGUUAUUUUAUUGCACCAACAUCUUGGCAACAGCUGGGCCUCCUCGGCCCCUGGAGCGGAAGCACAGGCUUGGGACGUGCACCUCUACGCACACUCGGUGUUGCUGCACAACCACGACACUGGCAGGUGAGGUGGCAAAGGGCCAUCUAGGAGAGGUGGUCCCUCCCACAAAGGCCCCUGCUCACCUCCCGCUCCACUCCAAACUCAAAGUUAAAUUAAACCCAGAUUGUAAGUCAACUGAGUGACUGCGAUUAUAAAAGCCUUAGUUAUUUCUGUACGUUUAUAUACACAAGUGACCUAGGCCUAGGACUAAGUUCCUGGGCGCACCCUUCCCUCCCAAUGUGGCUGAUGAUUUUCUGUGGGAGGGAAGGACUCACCUCACUUUACGGUGAUAAACGCCGCAGAAAGGCAGGCCAGUGCUCGUCACCGCCCAAGAGAUGACAGACAUAUUUUGCUCAGGAUGAGGUUUUACGAUUAUAUAGCAGAGAAAGGAAAAGACUGAUUUGGAGGAAAGGCGGGAAAGAAAUCAAGGAAGUAAAUUCUGUGCUAAUAAAAAAGUGAUCUUCUUGAGUUUUAAAUCAUCUAAAUUCAAAAGCACUCACAAAAUUGAGCAACGAAGCCAGUACUUGCAUAUUAGGGAAAGGAAACAUAUUGCUACUGGGAGCCACAGGCCUGGUAAAAAAUAAACGUUUUAUAUUAAGUAGUAAAAUAAAAGGAGGAUUCUACCCCAAGACCACCACCUCGAUAAAGACCCAUGGGUUACUGCAGCUGCAAGGGAAGGUGCGGCAAAGCCACCUCAGAAUAAAUAGCAGCCUAAAGAGCAAUGUGCUGACACCUCAUUUCAACCCUGACCCCCACCCCAAGCAGCCUUUCGCUCUCAGAGAUGGCCCAGACUUCCUGGCAAGGGAGAGACGCACUAGUAGCGCCGCCCCCAGUUCCAGAAGAGGGAGGGGCUGCCCUGUGGGGCUGGCCUUGGGCUCUUACUUUCUGGGGGUGGACAGGUAAGGCGUACAGACAGGCCCCCGCCAGAUGAACAGAGAGGGGCAGGGUGCAGGACCAGAAGGCAGCGUCAGCUGCCAGGAGCAGGCGGUGGAUGGCUCGCCGAGAAGAGUACCCAGUGCACAGUCAUCCUAAGGGCACUGGAGGACGCACUGGGAGAGGCGCAGCCGCCGCCCCCCGCGCUCUCCCACAGCCAGACAAGACGCCGCUGUCCAGGAGCACAGUACGCUCAGCCCUUCCCAGCUGGUGUGCUGCCACCUGCUCUACACGGCACUGUGUGGUUUGUCACCGUGCCUGUUGUGUUGCCGGGGGUCCUGAUCCACAGAAGCCCAGAGCCUCUGUGGGCCGUCCUCCCAUGGCAGGCUCACAGUGCAAGGCCUGGAGGUAACAGGGCCAGCGGAGUCCACAAAGCUGCUCUUCAGUCCAGACGGACAGCUCCCAGGAAGUGACGCCCCAUCGGUGGAGGCUGUGGGACAAAGAACAUUGAGAGAAUGAGACCCUGCGCGUCCCACCACCACCCUCCAGUGUGCAUCCAACACAGGGAAGGACACAUGACACGAGACGGAGCUCGGAAACAGCACGGUCUCUGCAAGUGACUGGUGUGUGUGUACUCCACAUUUCACACACCACUCACGCCGCCACACGCUAGCCAUUCACACUCACUCCCACUCCACACCACACACACCACUCCAG
ensembl:lncRNA